ensembl:snRNA U6 U6 spliceosomal RNA
GUGUUUGCCUCCAAAGCACAUAUACAAAAAUUGGAAGGAUACAGGAAGAUUAGCAUGUCCCUGCUCAAGGAUGACAUGCAAAUUCCUAAAGCAUUCCAUAUUUUU